GAGAGCGCAGUGAGAGCGCAGUGAGAGCGCAGUGAGAGCGCAGUAGGCUGUGACUGAUUUGCGUCUUCAACUGCGCAGGGGAACGAACUCAGAAGUACAAGGAGCUGCAGAAGAAAGAAGAAGAAAUCGACUCAUAUUUACACACAUUUGAGGACAGCAGAUCUCAGGAGCAGCAGCUGAUCAGAGACUCUCAAAGCAGCAUCGUGGCCUUACUGGAGCAUUCCAGCAGGAACAUCAGCCGUCUGCAGCAGCUGUCCUCCGUCACAGCGCAGGAGCUGCAGUCCAUGCAGGAGGACCUGACCUUCAAGGAGACGGAGAUGCAGAAAUCCCAGAGCACUGCCAAAGGCCUCAA